GACGAACGCUGGCGGCGUGCUUAACACAUGCAAGUCGAACGGAAAGGCCCUGCUUUUGUGGGGUGCUCGCGUGGCGAACGGGUGAGUAACCCGUGAGUAACCUGCCCUUGACUUUGGGAUAACUUCAGGAAACUGGGGCUAAUAACGGAUAGGAGCCCCUGCUGCAUGGUGGGAGUUGGAAAGUUUCGGCGGUUGGGGAUGGACUCGCCGCUUAUCAGCUUGUUGGUGGGGUAGUGGCUUACCAAGGCUUUGACGGGUAGCCGGCCUGAGAGGGUGACCGGCCACAUUGGGACUGAGAUACGGCCCAGACUCCUACGGGAGGCAGCAGUGGGGAAUAUUGCACAAUGGGCGGAAGCCUGAUGCAGCAACGCCGCGUGCGGGAUGACGGCCUUCGGGUUGUAACCCGCUUUCGCCUGUGACGAAGCGUGAGUGACGGUAAUGGGUAAAGAAGCACCGGCUAACUACGUG
rnacentral:rRNA from 1 species